rnacentral:rRNA from 1 species
GACGAACGCUGGCGGCGUGCCUAAUACAUGCAAGUAGAACGCUGAAGGAAGGAGCUUGCUCUUUCUGGAUGAGUUGCGAACGGGUGAGUAACGCGUAGGUAACCUGCCUGGUAGCGGGGGAUAACUAUUGGAAACGAUAGCUAAUACCGCAUAAAAUUGAUUAUUGCAUGAUAGUCAAUUAAAAGGUGCAACUGCACCACUACCAGAUGGACCUGCGUUGUAUUAGCUAGUUGGUGGGGUAACGGCUCACCAAGGCGACGAUACAUAGCCGACCUGAGAGGGUGAUCGGCCACACUGGGACUGAGACACGGCCCAGACGCCUACGGGAGGCAGCAGUAGGGAAUCUUCGGCAAUGGACGGAAGUCUGACCGAGCAACGCCGCGUGAGUGAAGAAGGUUUUCGGAUCGUAAAGCUCUGUUGUAAGAGAAGAACGAGUGUGAGAGUGGAAAGUUCACACUGUGACGGUAGCUUACCAGAAAGGGACGGCUAACUACGUG